rnacentral:rRNA from 1 species
UACAGAGGUCUCAAGCGUUGUUCGGAUUCAUUGGGCGUAAAGGGUGUGUAGGUGGCGCGCUAAGUCGGGUGUGAAAUUUCGGAGUUUAACUCCGAAACUGCAUUCGAUACUGGCGUGCUUGAGGACUGGAGAGGAGACUGGAAUUCAUGGUGUAGCAGUGAAAUGCGUAGAGAUCAUGAGGAAGACCAGUGGCGAAGGCGGGUCUCUGGACAGUUCCUGACACUGAGACACGAAGGCCAGGGGAGCAAACGGG